CCCUGUCCCAGUGCCCAGGACACAUGCAGUGGCUGCCCCAGCUCCGAGUGCAAUGCCCAAACCAGCAAGCAGAAAAAGCCUGCUCAAGAUCACUAGCUCCUUGAUUACAAAGGCAUCUCUGAGACUGCCAAUAUAAACAAUUGAAUCAGAAGUGCUGGUAUGAAACUACGAUAAAUAUUUAUGUUCGCUGCAAUACCAGGAACAACUUCCUUGAAAGGAGAUUUGAGACCUCGACAUUACCUUUAACUCCUGUUGACUUCAGUGGGUGACUGAGACUUCAACAGCAGACAGGAUCAGGCUGUCUGUGUCACCUGUGUGUAGACAAAGCUACAAGCAGGGCACUGAGUCACACACUAUUGUGAGUCAUGGAGAAAAGAGCAACAAGAACAACCUGAACCUGUGAUGACAGGAGUCCAUGCAGCACCUCAGAGAAGAGGCAUUCUCCUUUAUCCCGGCACUUUACCUCAGCAGAUCUAGUUGCAGGCUGGGGAAGAUGAUGAAUGCAGCACAAAGAAAUGAGGCACCUCACAAGGCUUUCAGCAAUAAUCCCUCUUCAAACAGAUCCUGACACCUACUACUACAAUGAGCUGUUGUAACCCUCGGUCACCUCAACAGUUCAAAGUAAACCUCACCUCUUCACUUUGUACUCUGCUAACCUCUUUGUU
rnacentral:lncRNA from 1 species